AGUGAACGCUGGCGGCAGGCCUAAUACAUGCAAGUCGAACGGCAGCACAGCAGAGCUUGCUCUGUGGGUGGCGAGUGGCGGACGGGUGAGGAAUACGUGGGAAUCUGCCCAGUCGUGGGGGAUAACGUAGGGAAACUUACGCUAAUACCGCAUGCGCCCUUCGGGGGAAAGCCGGGGGACCUUCGGGGCCUGGCGCGAUUGGAUGAGCCCACGUCGGAUUAGCUAGUUGGCGGGGUAAAGGCCCACCAAGGCGACGAUCCGUAGCUGGUCUGAGAGGAUGAUCAGCCACACUGGAACUGAGACACGGUCCAGACUCCUACGGGAGGCAGCAGUAGGGAAUAUUGGACAAUGGGCGCAAGCCUGAUCCAGCCAUGCCGCGUGAGUGAAGAAGGCCCUCGGGUUGUAAAGCUCUUUUGUCCGGAAAGAAAAGCGCCGGGUUAAUACCCUGGUGUCCUGACGGUACCGGAA
rnacentral:rRNA from 1 species